AAUUAAGUAACUUAUAAAUAAAGUAAUGAUUUUUUAAAUCAUAAAAAAUAUAUUCUAUUCUUAAUUA
rnacentral:tRNA from 1 species